UGGGGAAUCUUGCACAAUGGGCGAAAGCCUGAUGCAGCGACGCCGCGUGCGGGAUGAAGGCCUUCGGGUUGUAAACCGCUUUCAGCAGGGACGAGGCCGCAAGGUGACGGUACCUGCAGAAGAAGCCCCGGCUAACUACGUGCCAGCAGCCGCGGUAAUACGUAGGGGGCUAGCGUUGUCCGGAAUCACUGGGCGUAAAGGGUUCGCAGGCGGAAAUGCAAGUCAGGUGUAAAAGGCAGUAGCUUAACUACUGUAAGCAUUUGAAACUGCAUAUCUUGAGAAGAGUAGAGGUAAGAGGAAUUUUUAGUGUAGCGGUGAAAUGCGUAGAUAUUAAAAAGAAUACCGGUGGCGAAGGCGACUUACUGGGCUCAUUCUGACGCUGAGGAACGAAAGCGUGGGUAGCAAACAGG
rnacentral:rRNA from 1 species